UCAAAACUACACUCGUCUAAUAAGCUACACGGAGUCAAGCUCUUGAAGAUCAACCAUGAAGACAACAAUCUUAGUUUUAUCUCUUCUACUUAUAGCUCUCUACCCAAGAGAGUCUCACGCCUUUACAGCAGGAAUUGGUAACGUUGGAAAACGCCAGUUGAAGAUGGAAAGAGCCUUUGACACCGUAUGUCGGGUUACAAUGGAGGCCUGUUUGGGUGCUGCAUCAAAACGAAGCAACGAAGACUACGAAAUAUCAAGAAACAAGAACUGACGCCAAGACAAUCUAUGAGAGUGGAAAUUAGUUGGCGAAAGAGACUGAAAAAAUGGCUUGGUUUUUUGUGUGUUUAGUUUAAACCAGAAAACGUUCACUAUUCUUCCACUGAGAGAUAUUUAAUAAAUCAAACAAUGAUCAUGACAAGAAUAUUGUUUUUUUUAUUUGUUCAUGUUUUAUUUUAUUUGUUUAGACUUAUGGAAAGUAACUUCAAAUUAUUCUGUAAAUAAGAAAUCAAAUAAACAUAGCUACUGUUGAUCAGUUAAAA